rnacentral:misc_RNA from 1 species
GAGAGCCAAGAGAUCCGUUGCUGAAAGUUGUAUAUAUAUAUAUGACUUGUAUUGAUCACAAAGACCAAUUCGGAUACACACAUUCAUAAGACUAUCAAAGAGUUUGUGUAAGACAUAGGCUACAAAGUUGAAAGCAAACAAACAAACAUAAUGAAUGAAUGCAUGAAAGCUUUCUGAACCUUAUCAUAGCCUACAAUAGGGUGCACAGUGGAGAGAGUUAGAAAAAGCGAUAUAGCGAGCACAUACUCCCCCU